rnacentral:rRNA from 1 species
GUGUCCGCUAGGAUAUUCCGAAACCCACGACCCCAGAGCUCGGGGAGGAAAUCCACGACUCGAGCGAGAAGAGCGAACGGCAGCGCCGUCGACCAAGAUCCAGCGCCCCCGACCGCCUCCGAGCUCCUCCGCCGGCGACAAGAAGUGACGCUCCCGAGCCCCUCCCUCCGGUGCUGAGGAUCCAAGCUCCGCCCCUCCAACGACGGCGACGGAUCGUGGCCGUCACCGUUCUCCUUCCCCGGAUCUCCCCUCCGCCUCCAAGCUCCGAUCCCCUCCGGCGACGGCGGCGGCAACGGUUCCGCGGACGUUACUAUCUCAUCUGAUCAAGGGCUUUUCAACUCACUAUAUGAGUUUGAUCUUGUUAUCUUUAAUCGGUCGUUGAGAAGAAAGCAAGAAAGGUAUGGGAAAGCUUAAAUUUAUUUGUUGGUAUGAAUUGAACAGCUAGCCAAGAAGAGAUGUGAUUGGUGAUGUUUAUGUUCUGAGUUCUGCUGCCGUUUACAUGAUAAAUAUUUUGCUGCUGGUUCUUAUUAGAUGAACCAAAGAGUAAAGGUAGAGAGAUGAUUUGUUUCCUUCCUAAGGUGUAUAGCUGUACCUCCAAGAUAGGCAAGAGCAAUUCAAUAGUUCAUUUUAGUUUUCUACCUAUAGUUCCAGGAAGGUGGAGCUGUAGCUGGAAGGUAUAUGAGACAUAUGUAGCUUACUUUUGUCUUGUUUGUUCACUUCUAGACAGAUGGAUAUAUGGCUGUUUAUAGCAAAGCAUGUGUAGAAAUUGUUGCAAAUGUGCAAAUAAAGGUGUAUAGUAGAAUCACAUAUCUUUUUGUUUGUUAUACAUCUAUUUCAAGCAGAUCAGCUGUUGAUUUCUUUUCAUUGGCUUUGGUUUCAUCAUGCCUUUGUUUACACUCAGGCACUCAACAGAUCAGCUGUGGUGUGACACCUAUUUAACGGUGUGUUUAAUGCUCUCACAAACCCAUGAUCAAAGAAUGACCAUAUAUUGAUAUGCAUAAGUUUAUAAGUUGUUUAUUGACCUAUAUGCAGUGUUGUGUCUUCAGUGCAGAUGAUCGUGCCGUGAUUUUGCCAUGUAAGGACCUAGAAAAUGGAAGUUCUUGGAGGGCAAACUCUGUUUUUUCUCUUUGUAGAUACCCAUUGAGACAAACAAUAUUAUUUUGUGUCUACUCUUUUAUUCACUUACUUCAAUAUGUCUUAGAUUAAUCGAAGCAAUCUUUUUUCUUGAAUAUGUUGAUACAAUUUUAUGUGCAUUUAUUUUGAAAAUGCAUAUUUUCCCAUGGCAUGAAGGUCUUAGAUAUAUCAGGGUGAGCACAACGAAAAGCAUUGCAAGUCUUUCAUUUGAUUUAAGCGUAGUUGGUAAUGUAUUACACCAAUCAAAAUAUAAUAAUGAACAACAUUGUGAUCUUACGUUGCUGCAAAGCGCAUGAUUACUUCAAGUGAAUAUUAAAUCUGAGUACUUUGUAGUGACUGCAAGUGGCAUUUUGGUUCUUAGGACAUUCUGAUUCUGAGUACUUUGUAGAGCUUCAAAGAAGCUUGAAGAAAUUAAUAUUCUUUUCGCAAGCAAUUUAGUCGAUUUUUUUAUGCACACUGCACAUAUCAUAUAUUGGUUCAUACUAUUUCAUCUUAAUUCAUUUAUACUUAAAAGUAGUCUAUUGAAACUGAACUGGUGCUAACUUAAUAUUUUGUGUAGUUCAGUCAACAUCAAGAUGCGGUACCUGAUGUCCAUGCAGAGUGGAGAAAUGACUUGAGUAGGGCUAGUGAUCGCCUCCUUGCAGUUCAUCUAAUUUGAAAGUAUCUCUGCCUUGGACAUGGCAAGUGAUAAUUCAAUUUUCUUUUGUCGUGAACAAAUUUGAAUGAUGAUAGCACAUGAAAACGAUUUAGGCCAACGAUUGAUCUCAAUGAGAUGUGGACUGACCAGUAUCUGAACCCUUGUGAACUGAUGGUUUUAUGUAUUUGUUUAUAUGAAAUUCUUAGAUUUUAUGUAUUUGUUUUUUUAGAUUAUUUGUGGAAUUCUUGUCUGUGGUCC